rnacentral:misc_RNA from 1 species
CAUCCUGGCUGAGCUCUCCCG